CUAAGUUCCAGAACUCUGUGGCAGCCUUCUCUCAGGCUUCACUAACUUUACACAGCUUCACUAACAGAACACAGAGCAUCUCUUCCCGGUUUCACACGUAAGGUGGCCGUGCUGCGAAUGUAAGGAAAAGAAAAAAGAAAAGGGAGAAAGACAGCGCAGUGCGCGCUAUGUGACAUAAACAGCUCGCUGAACAGCGAUGAUGCCGGUGGGGAUGCUGGGAAGGCCUCCCGCCAUUGUGAAAGGACACCAUUUGAUUUUCAGAGUUGCCUCUUGUUUUCUCCUCUGAGAGAACUGCGUACAGAGUGUGGUCCUGGACACAAUGAGAUUGCUCACCAGCAGGCAUUUUCUGUCAAUCCUCUCUGGUCUCCAUAACUGCGUGUGGAUGCUGGCUGCUGAGCAGGAGGCGGGGUGCCUCACAGCACGUGGAAGCUCAGAGCUGCACAGGCAGAUCCUCCUAUGUGCUGUUUUGACUUCCUAUUUCACUGAGUCAUACGGGUGCAGCCUCCAGUCAGCUAUCCUACCUCAUGAAGCCUUCUUACAGAGACACUGAAUGUUGAAUUUAGGUCCAACCUUAAUGGACAAAAUAUAUGCACAAAAAUAAAAUAAUUUCUAAUAAUGUCACA